AAGAUUUGACGAAAGAAUAUCUCUCUCAGCUUAUCAAAAAAAAAUUAACCUGAAAGUUAAAAGGCUUUCAUAUCCUAAAAGGACGACAAGACCCUAUAAAGCUUUAUUUAUAUAUUUUUAUUUACUUCAAUAGAAAAAUACAAAUCUAUAAAUUUUAUUGGGGCGAUAAAUAAACAAACAUUAUUAAUUAUAACGUCUUUGACGAAACUUAUAGAACGUUUGUAAAAACUUAUAACAAGUUACUUUAGGGAUAACAGCAUAAUUUCUUUUAAGAGUUCCUAUCGACAAAGAAGAUUAUGACCUCGAUGUUGGAUUAAG
rnacentral:rRNA from 1 species